rnacentral:lncRNA from 1 species
CAACAAGGAGCCCACUUUAACCUGUUGGUUCUCAGGAGGGCUUUUGUGCAGUGGCAUAUCAGGAUUUUUUCUUGCAGCACCAGACACGGUAAGCCUGGAGACCCCACUGCCCCUGGAAGGAGCAGAAAUAGUGGCCACGUUUGAGCAGAUGCACUGGCGGGUCUAUGAAGGGAUCCCCCCACAUGUAAGAGGACAGACAUGGUCUCUGCUGUUGGAGAAGGUGAAGGCAGACAAUCAAGGGAAAUACCAGAUGGUGCCAGUGGGUCUGGAAUUGGCUGAGUUCAUUCAGAUACUGCCGGUUCAGCCUCUCUGAGGAAGGUGUAGUGCGAAAUUCUCUAAGGUCUGAGGUCCCGUGGUGGAGCAGCAGCAAUGCAUCCGAUCCAUGAGCAGGUGGGUUCAAUCCCUGGCCUUGCUCUGUGGGGUGAGGUUCAGGUGUUGCUGUGAGCUGUGAUGUAGGUCUCUGAAGUGGCUCAGCUCCAAUUCUGCUGUUGCUGAGACAUGGAUCAUCCACUGAAGCUCCGACUGACCCCUACAUAGACUGGGAACGCCCAUGUGCCACAGGUGCAGCCCUAAAAAGAUACAUACAUAAACAAAAGAAACUGGGUGAGGUUGAUGUCCUCAAAGAAUUGUUUAUUCACACACUAGAUGCAUAGAGUGUAAAGCCUUGAAUGGGGAGACAGAAAGAGCUGUUGCUUCUUAAUAUCCUAAGGGUGGGGCAAUAACAGACGAGACCAGGGCUUAUUACGUGGAGACUUAGAGGAAAGGCCAUGUGAGGACAGAGCCUGAAGGCAGCCAUCUAGAGGCAGGCAAGAGAGGACACCCUCGAAGCCAUCCCUGUUGUCGUCACCUUGAUCUUGGAGGUCCAGCCU